CCUACGGGUGGCUGCAGUGUGGAAUAUUGCACAAUGGGGGACACCCUGAUGCAGCGACGCCGCGUGAGUGAAGAAGUAUUUCGGUUUGUAAAGCUCUGUCAGCAGGGAAGAAAAUGACGGUACCUGACCAAGAAUCCCCGGCUAACUACGUGCCAGCAGCCGCGGUAAUACGUAGGGGGCCAGCGUUAUCCGGAUUUACUGGGUGUAAAGGGAGCGUAGACGGCAGGGCAAGUCUGGAGUGAAAGGCGGGGGCUCAACCCCCGGACUGCGCUGGAAACUGCCAGGCUGGAGUGCAGGAGAGGUAAGUGGAAUUCCUAGUGUAGCGGUGAAAUGCGGAGAUAUUAGGAGGAACACCAGUGGCGAAGGCGGCUUACUGGACUGUAACUGACGUUGAGGCUCGAAAGCGUGGGGAGCAAACAGGAUUAGAUACCCCGGUAGUC
rnacentral:rRNA from 1 species